UCGGCUAUGCGUUUUAAUUUUUGACUCUAUUUGUUGUGAUGUCAUAAUUUUUUAGUUUGUUUUUAUGUUAUUUUUUGUAAAAUGUUUUAGUUUUUUUUUUGUUUUGUUGUGAUAUCAAAAAUUUGUUUUUUGAACUGAAUUAGUACCCAGGUAAUCAAAGUUUAAUAAUUCGGGAGUAAAGUUUUGUUUAAACCGAAAAAAUAUUGACUGACUUUAGAUUUUUCUUUGGAAUAUGUGAUUUGCUGGAGAGCCCUCUUUCUUGGUGAGUUUUAUUGGCACAUGUAUGAUUGUUUAGUUUUUAUUUUAUUUUGUAAUGCUUUUUUGUUUUGGCAUUUAAAACAGAUAUAUAUUUGGCUUAUGAGUUCAUGUUUCAUGUGUUACUAUUAUGAAUUUUUUUUGGAUAAUUUUUUUAUUUUUUUUUUGAAAUUGGAAAAGAAAGUAAUUUUUUCUUUAUGUUUUAAUGAAUUUAAUGAAUAAAGUGGUACAAACCAUCCGUCAAUGGCCUAAAGGGGCGUAAGUUG
rnacentral:ncRNA from 1 species